CUGGUUGGCCAGGAUUCAAAAUCUGACCCGCUUCAGAAUCGGGACUCGGACCACAGCGUGGCUUCAGAGAGCUCCUUCACCUGUGCUGGGCGUGCGUUGCCGUCGGGGAUGCGGCGGUGGUUAGCACACGUUCUCUUCACUCCCUGAACACAGAGGCUAGAGAACAGACCUGCAGACACACAGUGCCAGUGCUUGGCAGACACAAUCCUGGACGUCUGUGCUGUUAGGAACCGUCUGACGGGCGCCAGCAUCAGGCCUCGCUGCACACGGGCCUUGGAGCAAGCACAGCACCUGCUCAACAGCCAGCUCUGAGCACGGACCCUGCUUCCACCCUUCAGACAAACCAGCCACCAAGAGGCAUUUCUGGCCCACCCUCGUCUCAUGCAAGUGACAGCCCCAACUCCACUCCUCAUCUCCCAGCCUGUGAACCGAGGCAGCCAUGGAGCCUGGAAGGAGAACAGACUCCAGUAUCCACAGACGCCCAUUCUAAGAUGUUCUCACGGGGGAUCAAAAGAAGCUGAGAUCUACCCAUGUUGGCCCUGUCGGGACACAGUAUCUUUUGGGGAUCCAAGAAGACACUGUGGGCCCCAGGACUCCUGGAUCCCAGAACUGUGGCUGGCCCUGGACACAGAGCGGCCUAGAAGAUCUUGGCUCUGUGUCUCACUGGGGCCUCCUUGACCCAUUUCCAAGCUGUCCUCUCUCCUCCCCGUGCCUGCUCCCUGCUACGCUGCUCCGCUCCUCCUGACUAGGGUCACGAUGCUGUGUGGGGCCCCAUGGCACCCACACGACCUUUUGGCCAUA
rnacentral:lncRNA from 1 species